GUCAGGCCCGAAUAUCUUUUCUUUUUGAAUUGCCUUCACAGCUUUUCCAAAAAUCAGUUGGUCAUUAUUUGUGUAGGUCUGUUUCUGCACUUUCCUAUUUUGCUUCAUUAACCUAUCUCUACAGUCAUGAGUAUUAUAGCUUUCCAGUAGUUUUUAAAACUGGGUAGCGUUAAGUCCCUCAACUCUUUUUGUUUUAGAGAGAUUUUUGCUAUAGGGCGCAUGUGCUCGCCAGAGAGACAGAGAGCUAGUCUGUAUCUACAGAAAAUCCUACUGAGAUUGCAAUUAGAAUUGUAUUAACUCUGUAUAAUCCAACUGGAGAAAACUGAUGACUACAUUAAGAAUUCCAAUCCACAAACAUGGUAUUUCUUUCCAUUAGGUCUUGAUUUCAUCAGCAUUUUGUUUUUCCACAUACCAGUCCUGAACUAUUUGGAAUUAUAUCAUCCCAUUCUUCUCAGUCCCACACCGUUUCUGCUGAGAGGGACAAAGUAUUCCUCAGAGCAAACAGGACCUACUAUAUUUCACUUGUGAAAUAAGACAGGAAAUGUGAACACCUUUAAAACUGAAAUUUAAAGUC